GUGGAGUUUCAGAUAAUCUGACAAAGCUACUGACAUAUUGGCAUGCUUGAGAUAAGGGUAAAAUCGACCGAAAAAUAUUACUAUCAAAUCAGGUACAAAACUCUAAUUAAGGACUCACUUAGAGGCAUAGAAGCCAAUUAAUCCUACAAUAUUAGCUCUUAACCAUGAUCGAAGAGAAGACAAUGGAAACAUUGAAUUGUUCAGAUUACGGGUAGUUUAAUUAAUUUAUACUAGAUACAUAAUUCAACUUAAAUAACAUGAUAUCUAGCUGCUAAUUAGCUGUAAUACCAAAAUUUACUUAGAUAACGACCGAUUAAUCAUUGACACUUAGGGGGGUGUAUUGAACUAGGUGUUUUAGGAGAUUACGAGAUUUGGUUAAAAUCAUUUGUUAUUCAACUAAUGAUUUAAAAAAAAAAUUCAAAUCACCUGUUAUUCAAUAUGAAAUUUCUGUAGAGUUAUUAAAUGUCACUUAAAUUCUCCUGUUAUUCAACUAAUCAUUCGUAAAAAUUAUACCAAAUCCACUGUUAUUCAAUGUUAAACAACAAUUUGAAAAUAAAAUUUGUAAAAGGGAUUUGAGGAGAGUUUACACCAGUUUUUAGUUGAAAACAAUUUCUAUAGAAUAACAUCUCUAGAGGUAUUAUUUGAAGAUAAUUGAGAAAAAAAUAACAUUCGUGAAAAAUAAUGUUUUUUUGCUCCUCUGCUUGAGAGCUCUUGUAAGCGGCAGAAGCCUGAGACAGCCUUUCUGGUUUUGACUUCGUCACCUUCAUAAGUAUACAUGGCGGACGAAUCUCAGUACUCUCCCGGCUCUUGCUCAUACAUGCUUCUCUAGCCCCUAAGCCUCUAUGAAAUCUGAAUCAGUGAUUUCGUCCCUUGCAUCCCGAACUUCAAUUCGAUCAAGUAAGCCACCGUCGCGAACGAGGCCGGAGAAAGUGAGGGUGAGUUCUUGGCUCUAGUUAGGUUUAUCUCUUUUCAGAAAUUUUCACCACUGUCUUGCAGUAGAAAUGUUGAUUGAUCCGAGCUGCCACGCCUUGGUCGCUGUUUGAAAAUUGGCUGUCUUGAUAAGUUGAAUUAGUGAUAAAGUGAUGAACUUUAUGAUUGUCAGAUUUCAUUUACAUUUGAAGGUUCAUUAAGCGUGGGGACUACUGUCUUGCUAAAGGGACAAGUUCUGGAUUUCAUACACACAGCAUUGUAUGUUGCACAAGAUGCUUACUUCUCACAACAUUGAAGAUUUGUUGGGGGUUUUGGAGAGAAGCAUUGGGUUCAACCAGCAUGAAGGGAGGAAGGCUUACAUGUAGUUGACUACUUUUCUUUUUAUCGGAGCUUUGUUGACUAAUUUUCUCUUGGUGUGGGAGGAUGGCUUACAUGAAGUUGCUGGAUAAAGUUUAUAAGCAGAAUGAUAUUUCUUGGUUUUUUUCCGGUGGAACUCUUCAAAGUCAAAUUCGUGGAUAGAUUCUUUGGUCAUAUAUAUACAUUAAUGGUCCAUCUGUUGGUAUACAUUAGUGGCCACAAGUUUAUGCAUAUACCUUAUAAGUGAUUAAGUAA